CCUACGGGAGGCAGCAGUGAGGAAUAUUGGUCAAUGGACGAGAGUCUGAACCAGCCAAGUAGCGUGAAGGAUGACUGCCCUAUGGGUUGUAAACUUCUUUUAUAAAGGAAUAAAACGAGGCACGUGUGCCUUUUUGCAUGUACUUUAUGAAUAAGGAUCGGCUAACUCCGUGCCAGCAGCCGCGGUAAUACGGAGGAUCCGAGCGUUAUCCGGAUUUAUUGGGUUUAAAGGGAGCGUAGAUGGGUUGUUAAGUCAGUUGUGAAAGUUUGCGGCUCAACCGUAAAAUUGCAAUUGAUACUGGCAGUCUUGAGUACAGUUGAGGUAGGCGGAAUUCGUGGUGUAGCGGUGAAAUGCUUAGAUAUCACGAAGAACCCCGAUUGCGAAGGCAGCAUACUAAACUGUGACUGACGUUGAUGCUCGAAAGUGUGGGUAUCAAACAGGAUUAGAUACCCCUGUAGUC
rnacentral:rRNA from 1 species